rnacentral:rRNA from 1 species
AGCUCCAAUAGUGUACAUUAAAGUUGUUGCAGUUAAAAAGCCUGUUCUUGGAUUUCUGGCUUGGCAUAUACGUCCGCUCUUAGGAGUGUACACACUAUAUAUCUGUCCAUCCUUUGGGAGAGCCAUAGUGGCAUUAAGUUGUUGGUGCGUGGAUCCCAAUCCUUUAAUGUGAAGAAAUAAGAGUGUUCAAAGCAGGCUUACACCGUUGAAUAUAUUGGCAAUGAAUAAUAACAUAGGACUAUUGUACUAUUUUGUUGGUUUGUGCACAAUAGUAAUGGUUAACAGGGAUAGUUGGGGGUAUUUAUAUUCCAUUGUCAGAGGUGAAAUUAUUGGAUAUUUCGAAGACAAACUACUGUAAAAGAAAUUACCAAAGAUGUUUUCA